AAUAAGUGCAGCUAUGGUUUUCAGCGCUCAACUUUGACCAUUCGUCUUAUUUGAAAUUUUUUUUAAAAAAAUUAAAGACAUAAGUCACGAGUAAAGUACUAUCCAUGUUUUAUCAUCUUAUAACAACAAAAAUGCUAUAAAAAAAUUUUAAAUAAAACGGACGAUUAAAGUUGGAUAUGAAAACUCAUGGCUGCACUUAUU
rnacentral:pre_miRNA from 1 species